rnacentral:rRNA from 1 species
GACAGAGGGGCAAGCGUUGCUCGGAAUCACUGGCGUAAGGGCGCGUAGGCGGAUGGCAAGUCAGUCGUGAAAUCUCUCGGCUCAACCGAGAAACGUCGGCUGAUACUGCCGUUCUUGAGGAUGCAGAGGAGACUGGAAUUCCCGGUGUAGCGGUGAAAUGUGUAGAGAUCGGGAGGAACACCGGUGGCGAAGGCGGGUCUCUGGGCAUCUCCUGACGCUGAGACGCGAAAGCGUGGGGAGCGAACAGG